UACGGAGGGUGCGAGCGUUGUCCGGAAUCACUGGGCGUAAAGGGCGCGUAGGCGGCCUGAUAAGUAGGGGGUGAAAUCCUGCGGCUUAACCGCAGGGCUGCCUUCUAAACUGUCAGGCUUGAGCACAGUAGAGGCAGGUGGAAUUCCCGGUGUAGCGGUGGAAUGCGUAGAGAUCGGGAAGAACAUCAGUGGCGAAAGCACUCUGCUGGGCCGACACUGACACUGAGAGACGAAAGCUAGGGGAGCGAAUGGG
rnacentral:rRNA from 1 species